rnacentral:tRNA from 1 species
CGAAAUAGAGCAUAUCAAUGCAUUUCACUUACAUUGAAAAGAAAAUGAAAACUCAUUUAUUUCGA